rnacentral:lncRNA from 1 species
CCCAGGGAACAAGACAUUGGCAGCAGCCAUUAUUGUGACCUAGUACAGGCAUGCUGACACAGAUGCCAGCAGACGCCAUUGGAGUUCUUCCUCUGGCCUGUUAGCCCAGGGGUUGGCACCACAUACUAAAGCACUGAUUUAAUCCAGUUCAGCCGUGGCAGGCAGUUGGCCCUUGGCACUGGCUGGCCCCACUCAACAGCAAGCCCUCAGGCAAUUCAUGGGCCCACAUAAGCAGGGUGCCUGAAAACUCUGGCUGCCAGAGAUGUGGCAGCCUCAGUUUUACAACCUUAGCCAACAUCAAGUGUGAAUAUAGAUCCAUGAAAGCCCAUUACUCUGUUUUCCCUUUAAAAUUGUCACAGACCUUCAGAUAUUUCCACGUACUUUUCAAAGACUUUCCUAAACAAGCCUGGGCUUUCAGUCUCUAACCUGGAAGACAGGUGGCCAACCAGGGCCUCCAGGCUCUCAUCCUACUGACAACUUCUGGCAUCCAG